rnacentral:rRNA from 1 species
GAUGAACGCUGGCGGCGUGCCUAAUACAUGCAAGUCGAGCGAAUGGAUUAAGAGCUUGCUCUUAUGAAGUUAGCGGCGGACGGGUGAGUAACACGUGGGUAACCUGCCCAUAAGACUGGGAUAACUCCGGGAAACCGGGGCUAAUACCGGAUAACAUUUUGAACCGCAUGGUUCGAAAUUGAAAGGCGGCUUCGGCUGUCACUUAUGGAUGGACCCGCGUCGCAUUAGCUAGUUGGUGAGGUAACGGCUCACCAAGGCAACGAUGCGUAGCCGACCUGAGAGGGUGAUCGGCCACACUGGGACUGAGACACGGCCCAGACUCCUACGGGAGGCAGCAGUAGGGAAUCUUCCGCAAUGGACGAAAGUCUGACGGUGCAACGCCGCGUGAGUGAUGAAGGCUUUCGGGUCGUAAAACUCUGUUGUUAGGGAAGAACAAGUGCUAGUUGAAUAAGCUGGCACCUUGACGGUACCUAACCAGAAAGCCACGGCUAACUACGUGCCAGCCGCCACGGUAA